rnacentral:rRNA from 1 species
CUACGGGUCGCUCCAGUGGGGAAUAUUGGACAAUGGGGGAAACCCUGAUCCAGCCAUGCCGCGUGUGUGAAGAAGGCCUUUUGGUUGUAAAGCACUUUAAGCAGUGAAGAAGACCUAACGGUUAAUACCCGUUAGCGAUGACAUUAGCUGCAGAAUAAGCAUCGGCUAACUCUGUGCCAGCAGCCGCGGUAAUACAGAGGUGCAAGCGUUAAUCGGAAUUACUGGGCGUAAAGCGAGCGUAGGUGGCUUGAUAAGUCAGAUGUGAAAUCCCCGGGCUUAACCUGGGAACUGCAUCUGAUACUGUUAAGCUAGAGUAGGUGAGAGGGAAGUAGAAUUCCAGGUGUAGCGGUGAAAUGCGUAGAGAUCUGGAGGAAUACCGAUGGCGAAGGCAGCUUCCUGGCAUCAUACUGACACUGAGGCUCGAAAGCGUGGGUAGCAAACAGGAUUAGAUACCCCUGUAGUC